GGUUAAGUUGUUAAGGGCGCACGGUGGAUGCCUUGGCACUAGGAGCCGAUGAAGGACGGUACUAACACCGAUAUGCUUCGGGGAGCUGUAAGUAAGCUUUGAUCCGGAGAUUUCCGAAUGGGGGAACCCACUGCUCGUAAUGGAGUAGUAUUUUCACCUGAAUACAUAGGGUGAUAAAGGCAGACCCGGGGAACUGAAACAUCUAAGUACCCGGAGGAAGAGAAAGCAAACGCGAUUUCCCAAGUAGCGGCGAGCGAAACGGAAUUAGCCCAAACCAAGAGGCUUGCCUCUUGGGGUUGUAGGACACUCUAUACGGAGUUACAAAGGAACGGAGUAAAUGAAGAGGUCUGGAAAGGCCCGUCAAAGAAGGUAACAACCCUGUAGUUGAAACUUCGUUCCCUCCAGAGUGGAUCCUGAGUACGGCGGGACACGUGAAAUCCCGUCGGAAGCAGGGAGGACCAUCUCCCAAGGCUAAAUACUCCCUAGUGACCGAUAGUGAACCAGUACCGUGAGGGAAAGGUGAAAAGCACCCCGGAAGGGGAGUGAAAGAGAUCCUGAAACCGUGUGCCUACAAGUAGUCAAAGCCCGUUAAUGGGUAAUGGCGUGCCUUUUGUAGAAUGAACCGGCGAGUUACGAUCCCGUGCAAGGUUAAGUUGAUGAGACGGAGCCGCAGCGAAAGCGAGUCUGAAUAGGGCGAAAGAGUACGUGGUCGUAGACCCGAAACCAGGUGAUCUACCCAUGUCCAGGGUGAAGUUCAGGUAACACUGAAUGGAGGCCCGAACCCACGCACGUUGAAAAGUGCGGGGAUGAGGUGUGGGUAGCGGAGAAAUUCCAAUCGAACUUGGAGAUAGCUGGUUCUCUCCGAAAUAGCUUUAGGGCUAGCCUUGAAAUUGAGAGUCUUGGAGGUAGAGCACUGAUUGGACUAGGGGCCCCCAUCGGGUUACCGAAUUCAGUCAAACUCCGAAUGCCAAAGACUUAUGUUCAGGAGUCAGACUGCGAGUGAUAAGAUCCGUAGUCAAGAGGGAAACAGCCCAGACCACCAGCUAAGGUCCCAAAGUAUACGUUAAGUGGAAAAGGAUGUGGAGUUGCUUAGACAACCAGGAUGUUGGCUUAGAAGCAGCCACCAUUUAAAGAGUGCGUAAUAGCUCACUGGUCGAGUGACUCUGCGCCGAAAAUGUACCGGGGCUAAACGUAUCACCGAAGCUGUGGAUUGUUCUUACGAACAAUGGUAGGAGAGCGUUCUAAGGGCUGUGAAGCUAGACCGGAAGGACUAGUGGAGCGCUUAGAAGUGAGAAUGCCGGUAUGAGUAGCGAAAGAGGGGUGAGAAUCCCCUCCACCGAAUGCCUAAGGUUUCCUGAGGAAGGCUCGUCCGCUCAGGGUUAGUCGGGACCUAAGCCGAGGCCGAAAGGCGUAGGCGAUGGACAACAGGUUGAAAUUCCUGUACCACCUCCUCACCAUUUGAGCAAUGGGGGGACGCAGAAGGAUAGGGUAAGCGCGCUGUUGGAUUAGCGCGUCCAAGCAGUUAGGCUGA
rnacentral:rRNA from 1 species